rnacentral:rRNA from 1 species
UAACAAGGAUUCCCCUAGUAACUGCGAGUGAAGCGGGAAGAGCUCAAAUUUAAAAUCUGGCGGCUUCUAGUCGUCCGAGUUGUAAUCUGGAGAGGCAUUUUCCGCGUUGGACCGUGUACAAGUCUCCUGGAAUGGAGCGUCGUAGAGGGUGAGAAUCCCGUCCAUGACACGGACCGCCAAUGCUCUGUGAUAUGCCUUCGAAGAGUCGCGUUGUUUGGGAAUGCAGCGCAAAAUGGGUGGUAAAUUCCAUCUAAAGCUAAAUAUUGGCGAGAGACCGAUAGCGAACAAGUACCGUGAGGGAAAGAUGAAAAGCACUUUGGAAAGAGAGUUAAACAGUACGUGAAAUUGUUGAAAGGGAAACGCUUGAAGUCAGUCGCGUUCCGUGGAACUCAGCCUUACUUCGGUUUGGUGUACUUUCCAUGUGAACGGGUCAACGUCAAUUUUGGCCGGUGGACAAAGACAAAGGGAAUGUAGCGUUGCUUCGGUGACGUGUUAUAGCCCCUUGUUGUAUACACCGGCUGGGAUUGAGGACUGCAGCACGCCCUUGCGGCCGGGGGUUCGCCCCACGUACCGUGCUUAGGAUGUUGGCAUAAUGGCUUUAAGCGACCCGUCUUGAAACACGGACCAAGGAGUCUAACAUGCUUGCGAGUGUUUGGGUGGAAAACCCUUGCGCGUAAUGAAAGUGAAAGUUAGGAACCUUCUCGCAAGAGAGAGUGCACUGACGCCCGGCCCUGACGUUCUCUGACGGUGCUGCGGUAGAGCAAGUAUGUUGGGACCCGAAAGAUGGUGAACUAUGCCUGAAUAGGGCGAAGCCAGAGGAAACUCUGGUGGAGGCUCGUAGCGAUUCUGACGUGCAAAUCGAUCGUCAAAUUUGGG